AUCAAGUAUGAAAUGCGUUAAAAAAAAUUGUGAUUUUAAAAUUUUUCUGAAAGCUAAUAAUUCGAAUCUAAAUUUAAAAGUAAAUUAAUAAUUUAUUAAUAAUUAACAUAAAUUAUGGUGUUUUUUUAUUUUUGCGAGUGUCCUGUUAAAAUAUGCAAAGUUAUCUCAACAGUUAUUUCGGUGAAACGGAGGAGGGUUAGAAGAUGGAAAAAUUCAUUAAGAAAAAAAAGGAACGUUCUUCGUAAUACAAUUUUCUCUUAUCAUAGCUACAACUGAAGAAUUGAAGGAAUGGUUUUCAAACUAAUUUCUUUAGUUCGUAUAAACCAAUAAUUUACUUUACAUUUAAUUUGGAAUACAAUGCCUGCAG